AGGGCGCGAGCGUUGUCCGGAUUUAUUGGGCGUAAAGAGCUCGUAGGCGGCUUGUCGCGUCGACUGUGAAAACCCGUGGCUCAACCAUGUGGUCUGCAGUCGAUACGGGCAGGCUAGAAUUCGGUAGGGGAGACUGGAACUCCUGGUGUAGCGGUGAAAUGCGCAGAUAUCAGGAGGAACACCGGUGGCGAAGGCGGGUCUCUGGGCCGAUAUUGACGCUGAGGAGCGAAAGCGUGGGGAGCGAACAGG
rnacentral:rRNA from 1 species